GCUGCUGCGCGCCUCUACCUCGCCUCCCAUCGUCAUCAUCCGCCUCCGGCCGCGUCGCCGCGCUGCUGCGGCCAGUCCUGCGUCUCCGCCUCCGGCCGUUUCAUCCCGGCCGCCUCUAGCUCGCCAAGCGUCGACGCCGUGGCCACGACGGCGUCAUCAAGCACCUCGCCGCCCGGCUCUCCUUGGACAACGUCGCCCGCAUGCUCCGGUCCUCCUCUGUCCAAGUUACGCCCUCGUCUGGUUUCUUCCACGAAGGAGCUACCUUGACGUCCAGCAGCCAGGAGGGCUGCGCGUGAUGCAUCACAGGGCCGGCACCUGCAUGCACGCAUGUGCACAGACCUACGAAUCUGGCCGCCCGACCCCAUCGUGCUCGCCUCAAGCCCCGUCGUCGCCUGUCGCUCCGCGCCUCCCAGUUUGGCUCCACCUCGCGCGUGCUCAACGACGCCAUCGUCGCUGUCUGCCUACGUUCGCUGCAUCUUCCCAUGUACCUCGUCGACUUCUCCGCGCGCACGGCCAGCGCUGCUUCCUUCUGCAACUUGGCUCCAAGUGGGCCCCUUCGUCAGUGUCUACCGGUGCCAACACAGCAGCAUGAUGUACCCAGUCAGCGCCUAGUCGCCCCCUGGCCCCGCACGUCAGCGUCUUGGGCUGGAUCCC